GAGUUCUGAUUGGGCGGCCAAAAUUGC
rnacentral:piRNA from 1 species